rnacentral:lncRNA from 1 species
AUUCAGUGAAAUGUUCAGUGAAAUGACUCAGAAACACGAAGUCAAAUAUUGCAUGUUCUCAUUAGUGAGAGCUGGACCAUGGGUACCCAUGAAUAGAAUAAUAGACAUUGGAGACUCAAAAGGUGGGAAAGUAAGAAGAGCUGAGGGUUGAUCUACUACUCAUGGGUACAAUGUUCACUAUUCAGGUGAUGGGUUCACUAGAAGCCCAGACUUUACCACAGUGCAAUAUAUGCAUGUUAAGAAAUCUGCACUUGUGACGCCUAAAUAUCUAACAAAAAAUUAUUUUCAGAAAUAGUACUUUUUGCGGGCCACUGCACCCAGCCAGAAAAGGGACUACUUUUUAAUUGAGAAAGGGAACUAUUUCUUACUUGAUGAGAAGAAAUGCUUUUCCUAAUGAGUUCAUAUGCCUAACAAAAGGACAUACAUAGAUAUUUUUAUUGAAACUGUACUUACAUUAUAAUGGUUAAAAGGUGAACGCAACUCAACUCUUCAUCUGAAAUAAAAGAGAUAAGUAAAUUGUGGUCUAUUUAUACAACGGAAUACUAACCCACCCAUAAAGUGAAUGAACUUUAGCUGCAUGAAACAGCAUGGAUAAACUUCAUAUGCAUAAUGUUGAGUGAAAAGAGUAAGAUGCACACACAAAAAUACACAUCACUUGAUUCCAUUUAUACAAAGUACAAGAAUAGGUAAAACCAAUUCAUAUUGUUAGAAUCAAGAUAGUGGUUACCUCUGGGGAGCUCUUGAUUGGGAGAGGGCAAUGAGUGAAGCUUCCAGAUAACUGGAA